GUCGACAUUGAAGCUAAGAAAGGCUAUCGUGAGUCGAUCCACUGUCAACAGUCGUGACAUCUGGAAAUGAGGAUGCGCUCAUCCCUGCGGCCACUCCCUGGAGGCGUCACUAGUAAGACUCACGACCUCUCAGAGGUGUUGGUGAAAUCCUGGAACUGGAUCUCCUGCUCCCCACCCUGUAGGACCUUCUGCACAUCCGAAACCUGCUCCUUCCUCAGACGCAGCCUCAGUAGGGUCUUGUUAUAGCUCUAGAAGAGGAAAGUAAACAGGCACCAGUUCCUGCAUCAUCCCUUGCUCCCACCCCCACUGACAAGAUGCCAGCCUUCCAGGGAUAAGUCGAAGGCACACAAGAGCACAGACCUCUAUGCAGAGGUGUAGCCCAAGGAAUUAAGUAGUUACUUGUUUCAGGAGGUCAGAAAGCUGCAGCUCAUCCUUCUGUCCAGCCAACUCUUCCUUGACCUCUGAAUAUGUGUCAUUGAUGAUGGCCAGGAACAUGUUCUGAAGGAUAAGGCAGGGACACAGGUCCUCACCCCCAAACCCACUAACAGCAUUGAGCCCACUGACCCUAUUAAUGUCCUAGACACGUGUUGUAAAGGGGCCAAUGCUUUCAACCUCAGCUCUGCAGCCCACUAAGCCCUGCAUCUCAGGGUCCCCAGAGGCUUUCAGCACAGUGCUUUUAGGGAUGGAUCGUGCUCCCUCAUCAACCUGGUGUCCUCACUCAAUUGCUGCAGUAAACUGACCAGAAGGAUACUCCAACAUGCCACAGAACCCCGCCAUAUAAGGGCCCACGAGGCACUGAAGUCAGAGACUUUUCAAGCAGGUAGCCGAGCUGGGCGUAGGCGAAAAAAACGAUGAAGAACAUGACGGCGAAGCCCAGGAUGUCCUUGGCGCAGCGGGCCAGCGUGGAGGAGAGCUGGGUCAUGGUUUUGUUGAAGCUGAUGUACUUGAAUAUC